rnacentral:rRNA from 1 species
CCUACGGGAGGCAGCAGUCGGGAAUAUUGCGCAAUGGAGGAAACUCUGACGCAGUGACGCCGCGUAUAGGAAGAAGUUUUUCGGAAUGUAAACUAUUGUCGGUCGGGAAGAGAAAGGACAGUACCUUAGGAGGAAGCUCCGGCUAACUACGGGCCAGCAGCCGGGGUCAUAAGUAGGGAGCGAGCGUUAUCCGGAAUUAUUGGGUGUAAAGGGUGCGUAGGCGGGAAAACAAGUUAGUUGUGAAAUCCCUCGGCCUAAAUGAGGAACUGCAACUAAAACUAUUUUUCUCGAGUGCAGGAGAGGUAAGUGGAAUUCCGAGUGUAGCGGUGAAAUGCGUAGAUAUUAGGAGGAACACCAGUGGCGAAGGCGACUUACCGGACUGUAACUGACGUUGAGGCACGAAAGUGUGGGGAGCGAACAGGAUUAGAUACCCUAGUAGUC